CCUACGGGGGGCUGCAGUGAGGAAUAUUGGUCAAUGGCCGGGAGGCUGAACCAGCCAAGUCGCGUGAGGGAAGACGGCCCUACGGGUUGUAAACCUCUUUUGUCAGGGAGCAAGGUGCAGGUCGGGACCUGCUGUGAGAGUACCUGAAGAAAAAGCAUCGGCAAACUCCGUUCCAGCAGCCGCGGUAAUACGGGGGAUGCGAGGGUUAUCCGGAUUUAUUGGGUUUAAAGGGUGGCCAGGCGGAGGCACAAGUCAGCGGUAAAAUCGCGGGGCUCAACCCCGCACUGCCGUUGAAACUGUGUGCCUUGAGUGCGCGAAGGGUAGGCGGAAUGCGUGGUGUAGCGGUGAAAUGCAUAGAUAUCACGCAGAACUCCGAGCGCGAAGGCAGCCUACCGGCGCGCAACUGACGCUCAUGCACGAAAGCGUGGGUAUCGAACAGGAUUAGAUACCCGGGUAGUC
rnacentral:rRNA from 1 species